rnacentral:rRNA from 1 species
GACGAACGCUGGCGGCGUGCUUAACACAUGCAAGUCGAACGGAAAGGCCUCUUUCGGGGGGUACUCGAGUGGCGAACGGGUGAGUAACACGUGAGUAACCUGCCCUUGACUUUGGGAUAACUUCAGGAAACGGGGGCUAAUACCGGAUAGGAGCUCCUGCUGCAUGGUGGGGGUUGGAAAGUUUCGGCGGUUGGGGAUGGACUCGCGGCUUAUCAGCAUGUUGGUGGGGUAGUGGCUUACCAAGGCUUUGACGGGUAGCCGGCCUGAGAGGGUGACCGGCCACAUUGGGACUGAGAUACGGCCCAGACUCCUACGGGAGGCAGCAGUGGGGAAUAUUGCACAAUGGGUGGAAGCCUGAUGCAGCAACGCCGUGUGCGGGAUGACGGCCUUCGGGUUGUAAACCGCUUUCGCUCAUGACGAAGCUUUGUGUGACGGUAGUGGGUAAAGAAGCACCGGCUAACUACGUG